CUUUGCGCUCUGACUGAAUAAUGUAUUUUCGUCCCUGAGCCAGCCUCAGGGAAACAGCCUAAGUUACAGUACACAACAAAAGCCAACAUUUCACCUGCGUGCCCAACUGGAGACCUGCAACCACAACACAACAACCUGAAGUCGUUUACUGCAGGAAAUGUGCGUAAUUACGCACGGAACUGAAGGAAUUUAGCGACCAGACGGUGCGUUUAGGCUGUCCUCCGAGGGUUUCUCAUUUUACAGAAGCGAUAUAUAUGCACGACGUCAUCAGUGCAGGCACAGUCAGUCCUCACCUCUUAACUUUGAGCUCACAGUCCUCUGUGUGCACAGGGCAGGAUGGGAUGCUCCACCAGUACCCAAACUUCAGCGGUAGAUACGACUCGACCAAGCGCUAAGCUCGAGGAGAGCAACGGAGCCAGCACUACAGGAGCGGCCAAUGAAAAUGGGAAUGUAGCUGAGGACAGUGAAACUAUUCCAGACCAGACACCUGCUGAGGGAAGCGAUGCCAAGCCUGGAGAUGAGCCUGCUGAAGAGCCUGCCGUGACAGCCGCGUCUGCAGACACCACAGCUGCAACUCCACCAGCAGCAGAAGAGUCUCAGGAUGCAGCCAGCAGCCCGCCCGCUGAGACUUCAGCAGCAGCAGGAGACAGCACCGCUGAGACAGCAGCAAGCUCCUCAGAGGCUGAAGCUCCUGCCCCAGAGCCAGGUAGGCGGGAGUCACAAACAGGAAUGAGGUUAAAUACUCACAAAAGGCCUUUUACUACAUAUAUUCUUAGAAUCUGUAAUGUUUUAAUGUUUUAUUUUGAAUUCUUCUGCACAUGACAACACCACUGUAUCUUCAGUCUGAGCUUAUAAACAUGCACAUUAUAAAUGCACGUUGUAAUUCAUGCAAAGGUGAACAUUUAUGGGAAUCGCUGCUCACAUCCUCGUGAAACGUAUCGGGCAGACAAGGACAAGAACCUGUGUGUGCGUGCAUAAGUUGGGUUACUUAAAAUGACACUUCAGAACAUUUGGAGUGGAAGAUUUUCUCUCUUGACACCUCUUGAACAAGUUACCACAGUAGUCGCAUAAUUAAUGUGUCCAAACAAGUGAUGGAUAAAAUGUACAACAGUAACCUGAGCGGUGCUAUUCCACCUCAACAUGGGAUGCCGCAGUACAAAGGUACGUAAUGUCUCUUCCGUUUUUAGUUCCUCCGCAACUGUAGUAACUACGCAGUAUCCAACAACACACUGGCAUGACUUUGGCCUCUAAUGAACACACCGGGGUGGCCACAAGAAUGCGUUUCCAGGUCACACCUAUGAUCAGUACCUAUUAAAGGAUCUGUCUGCAUAUUGCACAAGCUUAACUGAUCAGGUUAAAUUUUCGUAUGAAUUCUUUUAAUUACACGCUUUUGUGUAGUCGUGGAUUAGACUACUUGUUGAAGUUUCACUGACUGAAACACACACAAAGCGUGAUGUUGUUGAGGGUUUACCUUGUAAAAUGUAACAUUUAUUAAAACCUGGCAGCUGUCAUUAAGGGAUUUGACAUUUUGAUAGAGGAUAAAAAAUAGCUGAUAGCUUUUGUUUGGCCAAAAGCAUUGAGGAUAUUUGUGUGAUUUAAACUUGGAAAUAAAGCAUUUGUUGUGUUUGCUUUGCCUCCCAGCCCUCUGCUGUGAGUAGGACUCUAAAUUAGAAAUUUCUGCUGUAACUUCCAAGACAGCACCUCAGCAGGCUCUUCAGACCUGCAUUGUGAUAAUAGCUCUGCAUGCCUGUCCGCCAGCGAUCAUCUAUACAUGGAAGCGCUCUGUAGGAAGCUGCAUGACAAGAGCAGCAUUGCACUCACUGCUAUCACAAAGUUACUUCGUGAUGCAAAUGACGAGCAGGUAGCAAAUGAUGAUGAGGUCAACUUCAUUUUCCUCUUUUUCUGAUGCAAAGUGUUCAUUGCAGUAAAGCGGGCCGAGCAGGGUGGCAGGUUAAACAUCAAACACCAAACUUUUUAGAGGUUUUAGCUUCUAUGAGACUCGAUGCUGCUGUAGUGGGCGAAAUUAAGUGAAUGUUGCUUAUUUAUAAAAAUGUAUUCUUGUGUCUUCAGUCUAAGAUCUGUGAUGAUUCUUGGAGUAAUUUUUAGCCACAAAAUAGAAGCAUGAAUGCCCAUGUCUCAGAGCAAUGCUGAAAAACUGUUUUAUGCAUGUGCUACUUUCAGACUUGACUAUUGGAUUUCCUUUUCCUUAUCAGGUUUUCCUAAAAUUUCCCUGAAAAGCCUCCAGUUGAUCCAAAACACUGCAGUGAGAGCGCUAACAGGGACUAGAAAGAGAGAGCAUGUUUUUCCCAUAUUGGCUUUUUUUCACUGGCUCCCUUUUUAAUCCAGACUUGAAUUUAAAACCCGUCUCCUCACAUGCAAAAUCAUGAAUAAUCAGGCCCCAUCAAAUGUUAAAGACCUCACUUUGUUCUCCGCCUGCUGGCUUACUUGUGUUUAAUAGAGUUUCCUAGAGCUGUCAGGGUUUAGGAGACAGAUAGUCGCUCUACUUUUAAAAUUAAUUUUAAAAAUUUCCCUUGUGAUAAAGUUUAUUCUUAGACUUACAUUCAUAGUCCUAGACUAUAGUGAUAUUUUUACAAUUCAGAUUGUCUAAACACUCUGACGGUAACUGGAAAGAGAGACAAUAUUAGCGUCUCCAGAUCCAAAGCACUGAUUGCUUAGUCCCCAUCAUGACUAUAGACCUCAUACAGCCAUAUUAUCCCAACAGAGCACUUUGCUCUCAGACUGUAGGCUUCCUAGAGUUUCCAAAAGUGGAAUAAAAAUUGUACAAAAAAUAUUCAUGAAGUAAUGCUACCAUAAAAUCUUCAUGGAUGUGUCUCACAGAUUAACUGUUCAUCAUUUAAUCAUUAUAGUUAGAAAAUCAUGAUCUUCACCCCCUGCGCCAUCCAACUUCACUCACUUUGAGUUCAAAUAUGGCCACAGCCCUGUGUAGAGAUGCUGGAUGGAGCAUGUGUUUGUGUUGCCAACACUUUGUUGUCACUGUGGUAUCAUUAAGAUGCAAUCUGAGUCCACAUAGAAACUAGAGCGUUCCAACACAUAUAGGGCUUCCACCAGCGACGAGCGAUGUCGGGACGGCUGAGCCUCCACGCCUCCAUUUCACAGCCAGUGGAGAGAGAGGAUCGAGUGUCACAUAAGCAGAGCUGACAGAGCGGCUCGUCCACCUCUGACGCAGCUACAGGUUGUUUUUAAGGAACGACUUGCUGGAAAUCUGCUAUUCCUAGUUCUGCAAUAUAAGUUUUAACACCUUCAGAUUAAAGGUGUUUGCAUGGAGAUUAAUUUCCUUUUCUGUUUGGGAGGGAGGCUUUAGUUCAAGUUCAUGCAAAAUCUGCACUUCAGACUACAACAAUACUUUGGGAGUGUGCUGUAACACAGUCAGAUGUUUUGUUUGUUUGCAUGCAAACAUGCUAACACUUCAACUCGGUUCUGGUUAUUGUGUUCAUUAUGCUGCAAGCUGGAAAUCUGACAGGAUUAGAGUGCUAAAACAUUUGAAAGGGGGUGAUUUAUGUUCACAGUUUUUCUAGCUCUAUGUUUAUAUUUUUAACUCUAAACUACAAUAGCUUAGCACGUCUUAGUCUGUCGCAAGGUCAGUUACUACAUGUCUUCCUCCCAGUUUUCCUUUCUUCUUUCCACUGUCCAGUCAAAAUAUGGGCUUUAAAUAAAUAUAUUUUAAAAAUGUAAUCAUAAGGCAACCGAGAAUGCUGGCAGCAAGUAUCCUAACAGUCCAUCGAGCUGUUUCACAUUUCUGACUUGGUGAAAGAGACAAAAUACCACAAACCUGGAAAAAUACACUCAUCUUUGUUCUUCUGCUUGAACCCACCACACCUGGACAGGUGGCCAGUCUGUCAUAGGGCUAAUAAACCUCACAUAACAUAACCUGAUACCUUAAACAAACUGAUCUAAAAUGUGUGUGUGUGGUGCAGUAACACUGGGGACAAGUGUUUUCAGGAGAGUUUGUACCAGCUGUGUGGACAGAGGAGGACAGUAGUGUUUGGUCAGCACCUAAAGGCCAAAAUAAGAAGAACACAGCUUAAAUAUGACGGCUUGUUCGUGUCUUAAUUUGCUGUCUUUCUAAACAGAAAAAGGGGAUGCCGGAGCGACUGACUCAGAGCCCAAAACAGACGAGACACCUGCUCCCAGUGAGUGACGUGCGACAUGACCGACUGCACAGAGGAGUUUAUCUGCACGCAUGAGUGAAAGUAUGUCCGUGUGUGUGUGUGUGUGUGUGUAUGAGAAAGAAAGACAUUGUCUUGUUGCCAAGAUCCAGACCCCGUGGAAACCACUUUGAGUCCGGGUGCUCAGUCACCACUGUGCCUUCUUCCUCCUCCUGGAUGUCUGCAGUCUCUCCUCUUUGACUGUGAAUAGAGUUCAACAGCACUUAGGUUUCUUUAUCUGUAACAGGUAGUAAACAGCUGAGAGAAGCUUAGAUUACUAUUUAUUAUCUGUAAUGAAAUAGCACCAUAAACUGUAUGUCCUUAACUUAUUCUUGAAACCUAAGAGUUUGUUUCUGUGAAAACGAAAGCCAAAGUAUAUUAGAUAUUAGAAGAUAUUAUAUUUCUUUUUUGGGGGGUGAGGGGUAGCUAGCUUUGAUUUUAUUAUCAUAUUUAAAGUAGGCGUAAAUCUAAGAGGGUUUUUUCCUGAUGUGUCAUGAUUUUUAGUAUUCCCAAAAAUCUGUAAUUAGCAAUAAGCUGUUGAAAAAUUAAAAAGAUCUUAAAAUAAAACCGAGUACACAUAUUCUCUGUGUUUUAAUUCGAUGCAGGAUGAAAGCAAACAUGUCACACUGUGAUACAGCAUUUUUUUUUUUUUUUUAAUGAGUGAAAUUAUCAAACCAGAAGCCAAGAGGAGGUUCAGAUGAUGUUGGGGCUUUUCCAUCUGAGUGUCCAGUCCCACUGGAUCCCUACUCUUUGUUUAAUGAGCAGCCUCUGAGGUGUUAACAACUGAAUGUGUGGACAUCUAUGAAUGUCCACACAGUCUCCAACAUUUCUGUGGACUUUGUUUACUUAUAAUUUUGGGUGUAAUGAAAAAAACGCGUCAAAUUUUUCCAGCAAAAUUCCCUCCGCAAC
ensembl:lncRNA